UAGCGCAAUCAGUUAGCGCAUUCGGCUAAUAACCGAAAGGAUGGUGGUUCGAGCACACC
rnacentral:tRNA from 1 species